ACAGACAGCGUGGGACUGAGUCAGUUUGUUUUCUGCACACACCAAGGAACAGUAGAGCAACAAGGAGAAAGGAAUCUGGGUCCCUGAGUGGCUUCAAGGAACACAGUUAACCAUCCAGACCUUGACCACCCGCUGCUGCAGACAGAUCUGGUUUCCAUUCCUGUGGCGUGUGAGACGAGGGGACCCUUCUUCAGGGAUUCGUGGGCAGUGUGCCGAGAGCUCGAUAAUCUACUGGAGGAUGUGCCAUAUCAAAAAGAAGAGAUUAAACUCAGCAAGGGGAAGACUAAAGGAAAAUAAAAAGAUAAAGGAGACUGGAGAGCCAAGACAAUCUCCAGCCAAGAGACCGGAGAAAAACAGGGAAUCUCCACAAUGAUGGCAAAGGGAGAUCCCAAGAUGACAAGAUGACAACGUGUCACCAGCUGAGUACCACCAACCCAGAAUGCCACAGUGUGUCUCAGGGGCCAAGCAGGCUGCUGAGACUGUUAUCUAUGCCACCCUGUCACAUCCUCAAAACAAGAGACUAUAGCAAGCAGGAAGAUAGGAGACUGGGAAGCAGGGAAUAUAAUCAUGAGAAAAGCAAAAGGAACUCCCAAGAUGGUAACAGAGGGAAGUUCGAGAUGACAGCUGAGUGGUGGCCUAAAGAGAAAUAUUUACAUUUAAAAAUACUAUUUUCAGGGGCGCCUGGGUGGCUCAGUCGGUUGAGCAUCCGACUUUGGCUCAGGUCAUGAUCUCACAACUCAUGGGUUCAAGCCCUGGGGUUGGGCUCUGUGCUGACCGCUCAGAGCCUGGAGCCUGCUUCGGAUUCUGUGUCUCCUUCUGUCUCUGCCCCUUCCCCACUCAUACUCUGUUCUCUCAAACAUGAAUAAACAUUAAAAAAAAUCCUAUUUUCAUAAAGUGAAAAGGACUUUAAAAAAUUGGAAGAAUGUAAAAUAAAAGUCUUAACAGUGUAUCUUUGAGUGGCAAGGUAAUUGGUAACUACUGUCUUUGCUUUUCUGG